UACGUAGGGACCGAGCGUUGUCCGGAUUCAUUGGGCGUAAAGAGCUCGUAGGCGGCUGCUCAAGUCGAAUGUGAAAACUCGAGGCUCAACCUCGAGCCUGCAUUCGAUACUGGGCGGCUAGAGUCUGGUAGGGGGAUCUGGAAUUCCUGGUGUAGCGGUGGAAUGCGCAGAUAUCAGGAGGAACACCAAUAGCGAAGGCAGCUCGCUGGGACGUUACUGACACUGAGGCGCGAAAGCGUGGGGAGCGAACAGG
rnacentral:rRNA from 1 species